rnacentral:rRNA from 1 species
UACGUAGGUGGCAAGCGUUGUCCGGAAUUAUUGGGCGUAAAGCGCGCGCAGGCGGUUUCUUAAGUCUGAUGUGAAAGCCCACGGCUUAACCGUGGAAGGUCAUUGGAAACUGGGAGACUUGAGUGCAGAAGAGAAGAGCGGAAUUCCACGUGUAGCGGUGAAAUGCGUAGAGAUGUGGAGGAACACCAGUGGCGAAGGCGGCUCUUUGGUCUGUAACUGACGCUGAGGAGCGAAAGCGUGGGGAGCGAACAGG